rnacentral:pre_miRNA from 1 species
AGUACAAUUGCUGGGUCAUAUGGUGGUUGCAUGUUUAGCUUUUUAAAUAAACUGUCAAGCUGUUUUCCAGAGUGGCUGUACCAUUUUACAUUCCCACCAGCAAU